CUGUGCUUGGCCCUGAUUUACAGGCUCCCAGCCCUCUGAGUAAUAAGACUCCUGUUUCAUAGCAGUUGGAAUCAGUUCAGUUUUUUGGUCACAGAGAGAGAGAGAGAGAUAAGUAGAUAAGCUCAAUUUUUUUUCCCCUCGCAAAAAUCCAUUCACAGAGCUGGAGGGAGACAUGGUGGAGCUCAGAGAGCUAGUCCACACAAUCAAGAACAAACCCACAAAACAGACCAGCACAACAACCCCCCACCCCCAACAAGACCCAGAGGGCAGAAGGUGGAGAUGGACGGCUGACUGAGAGAGCCGGCUGCUCUACGGACUGAGGGGAGAGAACUUAGAGAGGCACACGUGGCACUGAAGGACGUGGUCAGAAAGCUGAGGUGUGACAGAGAGCAGGACACUCCCCGAGACAAGCCAGCAGAACAGCCCACCUCAGAUCCAGACCCAGUCCACAACUUCAACACCCUAAUGGGACAGACAACAUAGGACCCACCAACCAAACAGACCCCACCCCCUCCUAACAGCCCUCCUGUCAGCUCCCCCGAUAGCACUCUUGACAACCACCCACACAUCUUUUUCUAAUCCAAGAUGGCGUAGCAGUUCAGACGUCUUUGUCUUGUCAUGUCCCGUGUGUAUAUAUAUAUAUAUUUUCCUUCGUAUAUAUUUCGUAUAUAUUUUUUAUAUUUUUAAGCUCAGUUUCAACAAACACUCCUGCAACCCGCCUCACCCAAUGUGGUAUGGAUCUGCUAUUUUCUGUACUUUAGAACCGGAACCCCCAACAGAAGAUAGCCAGCUAACUAGUUACUAGCUAGUAGUCAGUUAGCCACUGCUAGCGGUCAUCAGCUAACCUUAGCCCGGUCAACUCCUGCCAGUCUGCACAGCGCGAUUCAACCCAGUGCAUACCGGACUGCUUUUUCUCCACAUGUCUAGUUUCCUACCAUAAGCUCUGAACCUUUUCACCUGGAUCAUCACAGCUAGCUAGCUGCUAUCCGAGUGGCUACCCCCUGGCUAACGUCUCUGUCCCGAAGCAAGCACCAGUGAGCCUGGAACUGCCCAUCUCCUGGCUAGCUGAAGAGGUCCAUCAGCCACUCCUUGGGCUACAAUACAUAUUUUGCCAAAUGGCCUGGAGCCCUUUUGCUGCCGACACGGAGCCCCACCGAAUCCAUCACGACUGGUCUACCGACGUAAUCCACCCGAGGGGUUUCAACAGCCUUCUCCGUCGCGACGUCCCCUGAAGGCCCAUCCGCUAGCCUGCUGGCCACGGCCCGCUAGCUGUCUAGAGCAUAUCGGACUGUUAGCUGAAGAGGACCAUCAGUCAAUUUCUUGGGCUACAAUACCUAUUUUGCCAAUUGGCCUGGACCCUUUUAAUGCCUACACGGAGCCCUGCCGAUGCAACACGACUGGUCUGCUGUCCGAGGAGGAUACAACAGACUUCUUCCGUUGCGACGUCCCCCAAGGCCCUUCUGCUAUCCUGCUAGCCCCGGCCCGCUAGCUGUCUGAAUCGCCGUGUCUCCAGCUCGCCUAGCUAUCCACUGGUCCCAAUGAUUACUCGGCUACGCAUGCCUCUCCCUAAUGUCAAUAUGUCUUGUCCAUUGCUGUUUUGGUUAGUGAUUACUGUCUUAUUUCACUGUAGAGCCUCCAGCCCUGCUCAAUAUGCAUUAGCUAGCCCUUUUGUUUCACCUCCCACACAUGCGGUGACCACACCUGGUCUAAAUGAUGUCUCUAGAGACAUAAAACCUCUCAUCGUCACUCAAUGCCUAGGUUAAUCUCCACUGUAUUCACAUCCUACCAUACCCUUGUUUGCACAUUAUGCCUUGAAUCUAUUCUUCCGCACCCAGAAAUCUGCUCCUUUUACUCUCUGUUCCGAAUGCACUAGGCGACCAGUUCUUAUAGCCUUUAGCCGUACCGUUAUCCUACUCCCUUAUUAACUCCCUAAGUUUGUUUUACUCACCGCUUUAGCACACUCUGCCAACCCAGAUGUCCUAGCCGUGUCUGAAUCCUGGCUUAAGAAGGCCACCGAAAUUUCCAUCCCUAACUAUAACAUUUUCCGACAAGAUAGAACUGCCAAAGGAGGCGGAAUUGCAUUCUACUGCAGAGAUAGCCUGCAGAGUUCUGUCAUACUAUCCAGGUCUGUGCCCAAAUAAUUUGAGCUUCUACUUCUAAAAAUCCACCUUUCCAGUGUUGGAAUCAGCUUAACUUUGAACAUUGAGAUAUUAAAUAAAUGAUAGAGACAAGGCCUUGAAAAGAAAGAGUUUGUAAAAAGCAAGGAGGCUUUGGAAUGUGUUUGAUGGAGGAGAGGAGAGCGAUGUGUAGAUAUAGGGAAGACAGAUGGAUGUCUGUGGAUUAGGGGGUGAGGGGUGAGGUCAGUUCCCCUUAAGGGAGUAAUCAGGGUUGGUAUCUGGUUACCUUCUUUCCUGUGGAGCCAUAAAAUGUAAGGAGGAGGAGUGUCUUAAGUAGGAUGCAUAUAAACUGUGAUGUCUGAAAUGUUUUUGCUGACUGAUUUCAGCUGUACAGAGUAAUCAGUUGGUAUCUGGUUACCUUCUUUCCUGUGGAGCCAUAAACUGUAAGGAGGAGG
ensembl:lncRNA